rnacentral:rRNA from 1 species
GUCUACAGCCAUGCCACCCUGAACAAGCCCGAUCUCGUCUGAUCUCGGAAGCUAAGCAGGGUCGGGCCUGGUUAGUACUUGGAUGGGAGACCACCUAGGAAGACUAGGUACUGUAGGCG